UACGGAGGGUGCAAGCGUUGUUCGGAAUUAUUGGGCGUAAAGGGCAGGUAGGUGGUCUUGUAAGUCUACUGUGAAAUCCCCGAGCUUAACUCGGGAAGUGCGGUGGAUACUGCAAGACUAGAGUGCGGUAGAGGGUAGUGGAAUUCCCGGUGUAGCGGUGAAAUGCGUAGAGAUCGGGAGGAACACCAGUGGCGAAGGCGGCUACCUGGACCAGCACUGACACUGAGGCACGAAAGCGUGGGGAGCAAACAGG
rnacentral:rRNA from 1 species